AAACUCUCACACUUGCAAUGUAACUAUUUCAAGUUGUGGAUUUGGACUUUGCCGUAGUUGGCUUGUCCUGAAAUGUAUUAGCUUGUGCUUAUUAGAGUGCUUGGCAAUGGUGUGAUAAUUAUCUGCGCCGCCGCCUCAUGCCUCUUCGAAAGUGCUGCUUCUAAUUGUCCCAUGUGGACAAUAUUAUAAA
rnacentral:misc_RNA from 1 species